CUUCACUCUCUCCACUUUCCAUUAAAAAAAAACCACACCCACAAUAGGAAAAAUUCUAGAAUGCAACAGGUAUAUUGGUGACGUGACGUGACGUAACGUAACAAACCAAUUAAAUAUAUUCUUUUAGAGAUAUAUGUCCCAUCAUAAUUAUAAAAAUAUAUUUUUAUUGUACUUUUAUUUGAAAAGAAUGAAUAUGAUUGGCUUGUUAUUGAUGACGCGGUGCAAGUCUGACACAGUAUAGAAUUCCUCCCACAAAAGGGGUAUACUGUAUACACUUUUACAUCCUCCUGUUCAAAGAACUUAAAAAAUCUCUUUUGAGGUUUUUAGUAAAAAACAAAGAAUUAAUAAGGCUAGUAGGUAACUCUUAGCUAUAAAAAGCAUAGGAUGUAAAUAUUAGGCCUUAAGUUAUUUGUGUACAUGUAACAUUUGCUUAUUCUGAAAACAUAAAAGAAAAUUAAACGCAGAGUUUAUUUGAAAGAAUUUAAAACCGAUACAACGCGAAUUUGUUUAAUCAAAUAAUAUAUACAGUAGGAUGCAAUAUUAUACAUAUAAUAUGUAAAUUAAGAUCAUAUUUGCAUAUUGGAAUAAGCUAUCCAGUGCUAUACUACUCGGUACGAGAAUUCAAAGUUAAGAGUGUGAUCAAAUAUCUCAAAUAAAAUAGCAUACUUGGUAUUUAAGUCACUUUUUCAGGAUGUAAUAAAUUAUCUCUCAGAUGAAAUAAUAUUAUUCUAACAAAUAUUUGAACAUAAUUAUUAAGUUAAGAAGAUUUUGAGUAGAAACAUGACUUGUACCAACCCAAAUGGCCACACCUGUAGCUAGUGAAAGAGAUGUAACAUUGUGGAGGGUGUCCAUUUAUUAUAAAAAAAAUGCUACACACUAGUUAGCGAUAUAAUAAUUUGCAAAAAGACAUGCAAUGGAUCCUUUGCUACAUCAUAUUAAGCUUUAUGUUGGAUUGGGGUCCCCACCACUUAGAUGCCUCAUUAUUUAUAAGCUGAUAUUUGUUUCCUACUGGGUCAUGAUUCAACUGAAUCCACCAAAUUUAUACCUUUUCCAAUUCUUUUGAAUGGGACCAAAUUAACAUAUACUUUGAGUAUCAUGAACUAACUGUAAGUAUAUACUUUGGAGCAACAAAACAUAAAUUAGACCUAGAUUGAGCUUUUGAAUGUUCUUAUUUAGAUAGCCACAGCUCUAUUUAAUUCCAGGGAAAUCAAUAGAUUCUAUAGAAACAUAAAAGCAGGUGCCAUAACAUUUGACAUUCUAACCGACCGUCCCUAGAGCAAGUGGCAAAGGACUUGGUGGUUGGUACCCGAGAUCCAAGUUCGAAUCCUAGUUGAUUCACAUUUCAAGCUAAGUUUAUUUCUCAAUAAAAUAAACGAAGCCGGUAGCAUGCUACCUAUCUCUCUCAAAAAAAAAAAAAAAAAAAAAAAAAAAAAAAAAAAAAAAAAAAAAAAAAAAACAUUUGACAUUCUAGCACUAGGAUCACUGAUCAUACAUAUUUUUCCAUUUUCUUUUAUUUUAAAUAGACUUAAGUUCAAAGUUGGAGCAGAAGCCUGUACCACUAUGUUUCUCCGUUCCGAGUGAAAACGAAAUAAACGACACAAAUUAUAAUUGCUUGUAACAGUUACAACAAUUUAUAGAAUAAAAGACUGGAAUAUCUCAUUUUAUCCCAAAAAUUCACUUUAUAAUCUUAAGCUACCAAAAAUAAAAUAAAAUAGAGUUUGUAAAGUGUUAUGUAGUUCUAUGCAGAGUAAUUGAUCUUUGUCCCAACUUUUUUGUGGAAAUGAGAUCUGUAUAUAAGAAACUAAAGCAUGAAAUGAACAUCCAUUUGGGAGAUAAAUUAAUUUCUAAAUCACUCCUCACUUUUGAAUACUUUGAUUCCAAAUUAUUACCCUAAUGCAUCAUUGUUAACUUCCAUUAUGGAGAGGGGCUAUCAUGACCAGAAACAACAUGUUUACAAAGUUCCUUCUAUUUUUCCAUUGAACCUAUCAAUUGAAGCCACUCAAAGCAGGACUAAUUAUGUGGAAAAGAAAGAAAGGUUAAAAAGGAUGGGCUCUCUACUUAACAUGAUAAUGAUAAGUUUGAAUUUGGAUGAGUGUGAGAAGAAGACACAGGAAGGUUAGAGAAUCUCUAAAGGCACCUUUUAGGAGUGUCUAGGGAAUCAUUCAUACCUAUGCUUGGGGCUUCUCCAAAAGCCAUUAGCUUUAGGUAAAGAGUGGCUUUGGAUGAGGAUUUGGUGGCCUUUGCUCUCAUAAAUGGGGCCCCUAAACUCUUGAUUGAGGAUAUUCAUGAGCAUAUUUACUUGGACCCUAUCUGGAUUCACACACAUUUUAUUCGGUUUAUAUCUUCGAUUUACUCAAAAAGCUGAUAAUAUCUGAUAGAUAAAAAGUGUGAUCAAAAGCAUACGAUAUUCAGUCCUCGGGUUAAUUUUCUUGAAUAGAAUAAAUUAUCUCGUAAGUAAAAUAUAAUAUUUUAUCAAAUUAUAAAUACCAAAACCUCUUACAGAGUAAAAGGUAAACUCCUAGCUUCUAGUUAUACAAGAAAAUUUUCAUACUCAACAAUUUACUUUUUAAUAUCUUAUUUCGCCAUUCAAAUAGGAACUUAGCCCCACACAAGGUAACAAGAAUUGAGAAGCUUUUCAACUCAAAAGAUAUGGUUCUUAACUUUGGUCUUACAAGAUGUGGCGGACACGAAAUCACCAACUCCUCUCAACUUUCCCUAUGUCACAAUGGUUAUUGGAGGUACUUUACCACAUGUUUGUCGUAUAAAUUCUGAACCCUAACCAAUUUGGGGCUU
rnacentral:lncRNA from 1 species